rnacentral:rRNA from 1 species
GAUGAACGCUGGCGGCGUGCUUAACACAUGCAAGUCGAACGGAGUUGUACGGACAGAAACCUUCGGGUGGAAGAUUGUAUAACUUAGUGGCGGACGGGUGAGUAACACGUGAGCAACCUGCCUUUCACAGUGGAAUAACAACAGGAAACUGUUGCUAAUACCGCAUAAUAUCUAGAUAAGGCAUCUUAUUUAGAUCAAAGAUUUAUCGGUGAAAGAUGGGCUCGCGUCCGAUUAGCUAGUUGGUGGGGUAAAGGCCUACCAAGGCGACGAUCGGUAGCCGGACUGAGAGGUUGAACGGCCACAUUGGGACUGAGACACGGCCCAGACUCCUACGGGAGGCAGCAGUGGGGAAUAUUGGGCAAUGGGCGCAAGCCUGACCCAGCAACGCCGCGUGAAGGAUGAAGGUCUUCGGAUUGUAAACUUCUUUGGUCAGGGACGAAACAAAUGACGGUACCUGAAGAACAAGCUACGGCUAACUACGUGCCAGCAGCCGCGGUAAUACGUAGGUGGCGAGCGUUAUCCGGAUUUACUGGGUGUAAAGGGCGUGUAGGCGGUUUUUUAAGAUGGAUGUGAAAUCCCCAGGCUCAACCUGGGAGGGUCAUCCAUAACUGGAGAACUUGAGUGUCGGAGAGGAAAGCGGAAUUCCUAGUGUAGCGGUAAAAUGCGUAGAUAUUAGGAGGAACACCAGUGGCGAAGGCGGCUUUCUGGACGAUAACUGACGCUAAGGCGCGAAAGCGUGGGGAGCAAACAGG